GACGAACGCUGGCGGCGUGCUUAACACAUGCAAGUCGAACGGAAAGGCCCUGCUUGCAGGGUACUCGAGUGGCGAACGGGUGAGUAACACGUGGGUGAUCUGCCCUGCACUUCGGGAUAAGCCUGGGAAACUGGGUCUAAUACCGGAUAGGAGCCAUUUUUAGUGUGAUGGUUGGAAAGUUUUUUCGGUGUAGGAUGAGCUCGCGGCCUAUCAGCUUGUUGGUGGGGUAAUGGCCUACCAAGGCGGCGACGGGUAGCCGGCCUGAGAGGGUGGACGGCCACAUUGGGCCUGAGAUACGGCCCAGACUCCUACGGGAGGCAGCAGUGGGGAAUAUUGCACAAUGGGCGCAAGCCUGAUGCAGCGACGCCGCGUGGGGGAUGACGGCCUUCGGGUUGUAAACUCCUUUCGCUAGGGACGAAGCUUUUUGUGACGGUACCUAGAUAAGAAGCACCGGCUAACUACGUG
rnacentral:rRNA from 1 species